UUUAUUGUGCCAGUCAGCACAUGCACACACACACACACACAACCUGAUCCCACGUUACUGUACCUCAGAAUUGACAGCGCACCAUAUUCUUACAGCUUAAACACUUCUUCUCGUGCACUGAGCAGCAGCAGCAGCAGCAGCAGGCACCCGCGGUGAAACAUUGGCAUAUGGAGUUUAUCAAUACCGUGCACCUUGAAGGAGUAAGGGGCUUUGCUGGAGGA
rnacentral:lncRNA from 1 species